GUCUCACAGUUUGAUCCUGGCUCAGAUUGAACGCUGGCGGCAUGCUUUACACAUGCAAGUCGAACGGCAGCACGGGGGCGAACCCUGGUGGCGAGUGGCGAACGGGUGAGUAAUACAUCGGAACGUAUCCUUAAGUGGGGGAUAACGCACCGAAAGGUGUGCUAAUACCGCAUAAUCUCCAAGGAGAAAAGCAGGGGAUCGCAAGACCUUGCGCUUUUGGAGCGGCCGAUGUCUGAUUAGCUAGUUGGUGAGGUAAAGGCUUACCAAGGCGUCGAUCAGUAGCUGGUCUGAGAGGACGACCAGCCACACUGGGACUGAGACACGGCCCAGACUCC
rnacentral:rRNA from 1 species